CUGCAACAGAUGACCUUUGAGACCAGUUACAAAUUUUUAAAGCAAGCCACGAUGCUGGGUUCUUAUGACAGACUCAGUUCGCCCUCAGCUUGCUUGGUUGUAGGAAAAGUUGUGAAAGGAGGAACCGGCCUCUUCGAUCUGAAACAGCCGUUAUAGUAAUGGACUGGGAUUGGAGAAUUCAUUUGCUCACUGUUAUGGACUGCAGAAUGACAAAGCAAUAUUUUUUUUGUCUAUAACAUCAAUAAAUAUUUUCUUUUGACUUCUU